UCAUUAAGAAGCUAAAAUAGCACUAGCCUUUUAUAGCUAGAGAUUGAGAGUACAAUGCUCUCCUUAAUG
rnacentral:tRNA from 1 species